GAUGAAGAACGGAGCGAAAUGCGAUAAGUAGUGUGAAUUGCAGAAUUCAGUGAAUCAUCGAAUCUUUGAACGCACAUUGCGCCCUUUGGUAUUCCUUAGGGCAUGCCUGUUCGAGCGUCAUUUAAACCUUCAAGCUCAGCUUGGUGUUGGGUGACUGUCCGCUUCACCGCGGACUCGCCUCAAAAUUAUUGGCGGCCGGUACAUUGGCUCUCGAGCGCAGCAGAAACGCGUAACUCGAGGUCCUCGUGCUGGCUCCCAGAAGCUAUCUUCACAAUUUUGACCUCGGAUCAGGUAGGGAUACCCGCUGAACUUAAGCAUAUCAAUAAGCGGAGGA
rnacentral:misc_RNA from 1 species